AUAUAGGUAUAGUUAUAGAGUAGGUACAUUUAUAGGGUAAGUAGGUAAAGGUUAAGUGUAGCGUUUUGAAAACAUCAUGAUUAUAUCACCAGCACAGUACUAUCAAAAAUAAUCUCAAAUAAUGUUGAAUGGUGCUUUCUCUAUGCUAUUAAAUAAAUGGUCGGAAACCGUUUAACAAGUUAGCUUCACUCACYCAGUACUUCCUGUACUGACAGCUCACGAAWAGUCAGUCAAUACCAAACAGAGUUUUAAACUUUGUUAUCAUAAUAAUUUCUCAAGAAUGCUCUAGAAUCGCGAUAGUAUGAAUGGUUUGUUUGCCUAUUUUGAUAGAGAACCAAGAACAGGUUGAAAAACGCCAAUUUGUUAUGAAUUAUUUAUGGCGUGUGACACUUGGGUGUACAUUUAGUGAUAUUAGUGACAAUACCAGCAUGUUGUAAAGACCUAGUGAGAUCUUGCUUAUGUCUGAAGUAAGAAAACCAAGGUUGCACGCUGGCAGUAGAGUCAUGCUGGCAGAAACAACGCAGUCUUUAAUGGCACUCGUUUUUACCAUGAUGAAAAUUGUAAACAUCGAAAUAUAACUGAAAUAAAAGACAUUUCUGUGCGCAAAUUGAGGAAUUUCGUUUCUUUGAACGGCUGAAAUCUUAAGAAUAAUAAAGACUGUGUGGAACUUGAAGUACCUGCUAGGAAUCGUAUUAUAAUUAUUGCUAUAAUGAGCCGACGUGGCAGCCAGCAUUUCUAAAACUGGUGUUUACGCGAACUCAAUCGGCGAUGAAAAAACACUAAAUGCGCUCUAAAAGAAACUGACAAAGCUCUUAAUUAAGUCUUUUUAACGCCAAAAAGGCAUAGAUUUUAAUAAAAAGGAAUAGAAAAUUUAAUAACAAGCUAAGACUAAACGCAAAAAUUCAAAAAAAGAAAAAAAAAGAGCAAACUAACACAAAAGCGAAGUUUAUAUUCCGCGAGAGGGUAAUUUCUUUGUUAGAAAGCGCGCCAAUUAUUAUUUUUUUCAGGCGACUUUAAAGUAUUUAUGUUUGUAUGCCUUGCACUGUCCCUGUAGCCCUAAUAUUUACUGUUCUCGGUAAUGAAAGCUUUUGAGAAUGCCGAUAGGCACUCGCGACUUGACAUACCUAAUCCCCUUAUUCAACUUUAUGUGCUAGAAGUUAUUGGCCAAGUUUUAAAAUUAGGACUCAUAAUCCUAGGCUUUAUGUUGAACUAACUCUAAAAGACUAUCUGUUCUGUAGUGUAGCUUGAAUUUGUGAGCUUUUUUGGUUUAGUUUAAGUGUAAACAGCCAUGAGAGAUAGGCAGAUGUAGUCAAUUUAUUACAGAUUGCAAAACAUGGACUCAAACAUCUAACUGUUUUUAGCGCGAUGGGGGUUUUUCCCUCACAGAUUAGAACCGACAAAACUAAAGUCUCCACUGUUCAUUUUGGAAUAUGACGAAACAUUUCAGGCAGUUUUAUAAAGAUAAUAAUCUUUCAAGUCCAUUUCAUUGGCCGUAUUUCAUUUUAACUUGUAAUUUCAUUUUGGGAAAUAAUUUUUUGCGGUUGUUUUCACGAUUAAAAGAGUGAUGAGAGCUAAGUUACGAGUCAUUCCUAGUAACAACAACAUUGGACACAAUAAUGUCAAAUACUAAARAUUUAAAGAAAAAUAAUCAUCUUUAUAAAAAGAAAAAGAAACAUUGAUUUCCAAAACACAUAAUAUUAUAUUCAAUUUUUUAAAAUUUUUGAACGUUUCGCUCUGUUCAGGGCACACUGCCAAACCGGCUCAAUUUUUCAACUUCCAACGAAAAAACUCACUUCAAUYCGCUAUUCUCACUUUCAUUAAAGUUUUCCCAUAAGUAAUUUUAGYUCCUGACGGCACAAAAAGAAUUUGAGCGAUAGAAAAAAUUGUUCUUAUGGACAACGCCAAUUGACGGCAGGUAUUUUACUGAAGUCCCCCCUACGUUAAAGAUAACGUGUACUCCUGACUCCCUCCUUGACUCCUCUUGGGCUAGGAACCUUUUUCUUUUUUACAAAGACUGCGCUGAAAAGCGCCUUCCUACCUUGCCGRUCUUCCUAUGAAUAAUUCCAGCCAUCUAUUUUCGCAUAUGUUUAACUCGUCYCUGACUAUAUUAAAGCUUACCGGCUGACUCCGAAAACAUCCUAUAUACAAGCAAAGAAGUUCAAGGAAAGUCGUCCAAAGUCUGGCCUAUGUAAGGAAUAAUUUCUCGAAUAAACCUUAUCUUGCCCGCCAACUUAUCAUGUAGUUAAACAGGUCUUUUCUCGGUGUAUUUAUGUACCUAGAUCUAUGUAUAUGUAUAGAAUGCAAAUGGCAAAAAGUUGAAUUGCUAAACACUGGUUCUUGGGCUGUGUAUGACAAAACUGAACGCAUUGUGUUGGUGAACCGUCGCAAAGUCCACAUCAAAGUUUUCUCGCUAAAAAUGUUUUUCAUUUUCGACGCAAAACGCUUAAUUGAACGACUGGGAUAGUUUAUCGUGGAGUUUUGAAAGAAAUAUCGAUGGGAGAACAGUGUUUUCAACAACAGCCAUACAAUGGUUCAAACUGUAAAAGGAUGUUCUAGGUUUUGGCUGCUUGAUGAAUCGCCGCAAGAAUGGCCAAAUUCAUCCUUGAUGUAUGCAAAUCGAGUCGGUUUUCUAAUUCAAAUUCGUCCAUAUAUUAAAAUCUAGUGUUUUCAAAUCGAGAAAGCCACUUCUACGUUGUUUAGGGUAGCAAGAAUAUCAGUUCGACGGGGAAGAUUCUUAAGGUAUUUUCAACAACCAAGCGUGCUCAAGCGCUGGGUUGACUCCCUUAAGCAUGUGUUUGCCUCAAUUCCGAAAUAAUUUCAUUGAAAUAUUAGAAAAUUAGACCAUGUUUUCAUUCAUGAAUUCCGCAGUAAGUCGAUACAUUGAACAGGGAUCAAUCAUUUCACUGCUAGCAUUGAAAUGGCUUUUUGUUCAACAUUGAAAUGGGUUCCAAUAUGCUUGUAUUUUUCGUUACAGUCGAAAAGCUUCGACCACGUUGUCUCUAGUUACUCUAUAUCCCGAUUACUGCUUGACCAACUGUGUUCAAUGUGUUUAGAGGCUGUGUAGUGUUUUGCAAAAAGGCCAAAAGAGGCACGCAAGAUAUACAAGUUAUAUUUGAGUUCGGAUUAAAGGAAGAAAAAACACCAGACCUUAUGGAUUUUAUUGUGUUUUUAAGCUUAGUCAUUUCUCGACUGAUUGUCUCCUAGUAGUGUAAGCCAGGUGUGCUGAAAAGGCACUAAGGAUGAAAUUUCACAUAAAACUCACAACCAAUACACGGUGUAAAAUAACCUGUAAUUCCUAAAGUAUGAUUAAAAAUUACUUUUGUGCCUAAAUGCGCAAAACUCGGGAUGGAUUAGGCGCUGUAUGCAAAGCAUAGUUGAAAACAGCGUCGGUUCUUCCUACACUUCGUGUAGCUUUAUGACAAAAGAAAAUUGUCAGUUACCCUUGUGCAUUCUUGCUCGAGUAGUAGUUAGUUCUAUAUAAUGAUAUUCCUUCGCAGAUAUUUCCAUAAUUCUAAGAAUACAUUAGUUAUAAUAAAUACAAGAAAAAAGAGUGAAAAGCACACGCUACAAGAUGAACCUGCUUCGAUUCCACAAGCAAACAAGACUUGCUUUCGGUAUAACACAGCUCUCAAAAUAUCCUGAUAAAUGUCUUAAAAUUACCUCUUCUGCUUUUCACUGUCGAGGUAAUUUGAAUAUGCUUUUUAUUGUUUUCAUUUGAAGGGCAGACUUAUUGAAGUUUUAGUUUCAACAUUUGUGGAAGAUAACAUUCGCCUCAAAGCAAGGACAAACCAUGCUCAGUGUACUCGAGCAAACAUGCUUCAUCGUGUUUCAUUUUGAGUUUUUUUACGAAGAUAACUUAACCGCACUGAACGUUGCAACGACUUUUGACCAAUCUAUUCAACAAGUCGAAUCCCUGGAAUAUUUUUGAAUGUAUUUGCAAUAAUUUAAAUGAAGAAUCUCGCGCGAACCGUUCGUCUUGUCGUGAAUUGAGACUACCGCCAUUAUUUAUUUUCAUGCGAAGCAUUUGUUGUCUCAACCGCAAAAUUCGGGUUUAAUUUCUCGUUUUUUCGCAUGCAAUUCUGUCCAGAGCGUUUCUUCAUGUAAUUCGGUUUAUGCUAAUAAAUGAAUAUGUUAGCUCUGGCCGUGUUAACAUAUUUAUAACUUGAAAGAAUAUUUUGACUUCGGUAGCUAAUUUCUUUGAAAGACCCUUACAAAUAUUAUCAAUGGUGAAAAUAGAGCUUUUUCUAAAUUGGCUGUUCCUUAAUCAGGUAAAUUUAAGCCCAAAUCGCAGGGAAAACCGCGUUUCCCUACUCUUUCACUAUGAAUUGUUUACAAUAAAAGCAAUUCUAUUUUAGGCAAUCUUGAGAACAAAUGAUUUCAUUGUUCCACGCUUCUCGCUGCUAAGAAAUUCGGGAAUUUGUGGCUAAAAUGCUUUGGUGAUUGUUUGCGUCGGCAAAGGAAAGGAUUUUGUCGAUUGAUGUAAAGGAAAAUGUUUGAACAAUCUAUGUGUUGACAGCUUAAUAAAGCGUAUCUUUAGGGCGUGAUGGCCUCUCACACGUGUCUUUAUCAUUGCACAGUUCUCGAUGACACUCUGAAACUCAGCCGAUUAAAAUUCCGACCCCUGGAUUUACGAACUGCCAAUUCAAAGCUCACAGCCUCUCUCUUCACCAUUUUACCGCCUUUUGUUUGCCCGUGCUUGCAGAUAAAAAACAUACAUUCAAACUCGACCCGACGUAAUUGCGAGUGACGAAGUUCACCAAUUAGUUUUUACAUGAGCUUGAAUUAUAUUAAACUUUGUGACAUUUUGUGUAAAUUUGUUUUGCGUUUUUCGGCUAUAUUAAAAGCAGGGUUAUUUAUUGCGGAAAAAUGUGUAGGAAGUUACAGUGUUGUUGAAGCUGACAACAUGUCGGCCGCCUUGACUUGUGGUUUUGCGCAUGCGCCGCGGGAGUUGUUCGCGCGUUUUGAGACCCUAAAUUAGAAUURAAAAUGGCCCUACUACUUGAGAUUAUAAAAGCAAAUAUCAUGUGAAGUAGUGUUUAUAGAUCGCUAUAUAUAAAACGUAGCUAAAAUUGUAAGAUUGUUUAGGUAUUUUUCAUGAUAUAACAUGUAUAAAAUGCAGAGGCCAAUCAAGUAGGACGCGUCUACGUGGAAACACGAAAGGCUGCCAAAUGAUAAGCCAAAUGUUCACCGUAAUACCUGAGUUUUUGUUACAUAGCUGGCAAAAGCCGCGAAAAACGAUUUACUACAAAUGAAUUUGAAUAAUACAUGAGCAGUGUUUCCACAAAACACGUUUUUCCACCUUGUGAAAAGUAGCUUUUCGCCAACUUCUUGACCUCCAAAACAAAAACUACGCUCUACUGUUGCUACAAAAAAAAUCUAAAAGGUGUGAAUUAAAGCCUGUAAAUGACUAGGUUUUCAAAUUAAAAGCAAAAGGAAGCUAUCAAGCUGCGUCGUUUCUUUUAUUAUUAUUUUUUCUUUCUGAGUUCCGGUUUCAGCGCGAGCGUAUAAGCCAUGUCCUUGUACAAUCUUCCCCAACUAUGUGUACUUGUAAUUGAUAUCCACUAUCGACGCAGCGGCAAUCCUCAGCCAUAUUGUUGAAUCAUAAUUACGUCUUGUAAUAAUUAAAAUAGAGAAAAUGUACAUAUUACACUUAGAAAAUCCUAGCACUUCGUUUAAAAUCCCUUUAUAGUUUUCUCGAUAAAAUUUAAAAUGCUCAAAAUGCUUUGCUGACAUCGUUCAAUUCGGAUUAAUAAUUCAUUUUUUGGGGUUUUUGCUAUGGAAUUAUUAACAGGGAAGUCAGCUUUGGUCUAGUAACGGUUGCGUUUUGUAAGGGAAGGCUUCAUGCUGGUAGCGAAGCUAUCCCUUGUUCUUAGUGGAUAGUAGUUUAGCGCGAGAGAGUAUAUAUAUCGGGAACACUCAAGAUCUAAAAGUGUUGAUUUGGAGAAGCAUCGAGUCUCCUUAUUAACACUUGUACUCUUGAUAAGAUGCCUUUUUUGUGGUCCUUAACAAAACUUUUUAUCUUUUAAAGAAACACCCCAAUAUCUGUAAAUAAAACUUAAUCAUAUUUUCCCGUAUACAUUGCUGUAUUUUAGAUAGAUAUUGUUCGUUUUCGGCACGUCUACUGUUUUCUUUUACGUUGAAUGCGCACUGAACGCGAUGAAAGCAAGAUUAUAAAACGAAGGAUAAAUAAUAAAAGAGCCUUUUUUUAUUCACAAAAAUAAAACGUAAUUUCAAUGGAAGUCGUGUAACCGCAGGACGUCGUAGUGCCUUUUUGUGGCUUUUUUCAAAAUAUGAAACUCGUCCUGAGACUUGACACCAAUUGAAACAAAAUUAAUAAGAAAACAAGACUUGGCUUCCCAUAAUAUGUUCAUCUGUGCUAUAAAAAAACUCUAUAUGAUCCUAAACAUUCCCCUUGUAAGGACAAAAAUUGAUAAAUUAACGCUUUAGUAUAAUAUUUUGAGUAUUUUUUCAAGUUAAAUUCAGUUCUAAUAAAAAACAAAUCCGUUUUAGGCAAAGCUAGAUAAUUACACUAGGUCUUUAUUGGCAAUUCGCUUUAUAAAUACACUCACCUGUGCUAUUGUUUAAACUUCUCAUAUUAAACAAAAUUAUCAGUACUAUACAGUCGCCUCACCUUAGUUGAAAUUACUCCUAGAAAAACUUCCGAAAAUUAAAUUUGGAAAAGUACAUAAAAAUUAGAAUACAGUUGUGAGUUUUAAGCCUAUUUUGUCUUUUUUAAUCAAUAUUCCUUUAUAUCUGAUAAUAGCACGUGCAUGACAUAUAUGAGGCUAUAUAUAAGUUUAAAAAAUAGACAAUUUGAGUUGAAAUGUUUGCGUUUUGUCGCUCUGAUCUUUUUGAUGCCAUAAUAGUUGGCUUUUUUUAUGAGCAUUUUGACGUUGGUGAAUUUUCGUCUCAGUUUUCAAUUGGCUCUUUGCAAUGAUCACUUUGUGGCGACCAAAUGGACAUUUCAUAAAGCGACUGCAAUUGAUAAAUUCUACCUGUAAAAUUAUACAGAUCUAAUUUUGACAGCAUUUAGCGAGACAUUUCGGCCAUAUUAAAUUCUAAUUGCAAAUCGAUCCUCCCUCUUUUUGGGCGCUUUUUGGGUUCGACUACAAAUGAAAUUACAAGUCAUUACAGACAUAUGGGAUAACAGCGACUUUAGGGCGACGGAGAUAAAGGAAUUAUGUUUAAAAUACUAAAAGAAACGACAAAAAGCUCUUUAAUUAUCUAUAUUAUUGAGGGGAAUAAUGUGGCGAUCACGAAAGGUUUAAGUAAUUCCUGAUCACAUGAAAUAGAUGCGAUUUAGAAACAUGCCAGUGACAUGUCGUGAGGACUAAACGUCUUUUAAUCUCAUAAAUGAGCAAAUAUUUCAGUUUAUGAUGCAAAUAUUUGUACUCAUUUGAUCAGAGUGUGUGAGGUACGAUGGAUGUAUCGCGAACUGACGGUGGUUUAGAAAAAAAUACGCGUUCAAAAGAGAAAAAGAUUGACAAGAGAAAUAUAGGAACAAAAAUGCAACAUUUUAUGAUUUAUAAAUGAGAUAAAGGCCAAUAAAACUUUAGAAAAUAGUACUAGAAACGACAAAAAUAUCAAAUGAUAUCACACCCCAGCGAAACCAAGCAAUAUAUUUGAUGUUCAAACACUAGUCGAGUAGGAAAUAUCACAUUUUCCUUUUGUUUACUGCAAAACCGAGUAAAAAAAAAAAAAAAACAAUCCCAAAAAUAAUUAGAUCCACAAAUGACUUCUAUAACUAGAAUAUCAUAACCAUUUGCAAUGACUUGAAAAAAAUACUCAAAAAACUUUCGAAAUUGUUUAGAAUUUCAUCGUUCUUACACAGAAAUUAUGAAGAGGAAUAUGUCUUGAUCUUAGGAUGUUCCGACGAGGACAAUAUCCUGUUUUCUACGCGUUUUAUUCAGAUCAGCUCCAAGGCAACCCAAACAUGUUAUAAGAUUGCCAAUUAUACUCCAAGUACGUACUCAAAUCUAAUCAGUAGAGGGCUAGCGGGUAUUCAAAUGAGGACUGAUAUUGCCAUAGUAACGCUGGGGGGUUGGUUGCUGUUGACAACGCAUUAAAAAAAAAACACUAAAAAAUAAGGAAUGGGAAGUUUUGUAAUAAAAAGUGCUUUCUAUACGGUUUUUUAGUGUCCUAUAUCGCCGAGGAUAUUACUUAAUUAUACAAUUCAUAAGAAAUAGAAAACGUAAAAAUGCUUUUAAAAGAUCCAAAUUAUUAUAUUUUACAAUCUCGUCCCCAGGUCCUCCUCAAUAUUAGCAAUUAAACGUGUGGCCGGUAUCACACUCCGCGUGUCAGUGGAUACAUGGUCAUGCGAGACGUACGCGUCCAUCGUAGGACUAUUUAUUACACUAGACAAUUUGUUACUUGCGUAAGAUUAAACGUGCGUGGAUCUUGCACAAAGCUUGUUGCGUAUAGUUUGCGUGGAAUUUGUGUAAAUCUUGAGUAAACCCGCACCUAACGACUCCUCUUAAGAUGCUUAUCACGCAUACUUGACUAAUACGGCCAAAAUUACGUUUUUAAAGUAAACAUUAUGAAACAUUGCGUGUAUUACUUGCGUAAACGAUCUCUUUCACGCUCAUUCAAGCUGUUUUUUCAAUACAAGAGUUUCCAUUCAAUUCAAUUUCAAUAAUUCAAUCCAGAAAUCCAUCAAUUCGCAGUGGGUUUAGAUUAACUGAUUUCUAACUGUUUCCCUAUUGCACAUUGGUGAGGUUUUGAUGGAUUUGGGAGGUUGAUAUACCGUCCAAGAACAGCACGAUGCUAACCGCGUGAAACGCCCGAACUAAAACGACAAAACAUGCACGUCGUGAAUUAUCGGAACCUAUUAGUUGCACGCAUGUACAACACCAACAUUCGACUACGUAGACAUCUUUAUCCCCCUUCAAAUUUACUGCGUUUACAAGUUUUACCAGAGAUAAAAAGGAUUUCGUAGUUUUGCUCAGCCGAYUGAGUAGUUUGUGGCCAAAAUAGUUAUUUGUCUCGAAAUAUAACAUAUAGAACUAGUUAUUAUUGCCUUGGGCUAUUAAUCGAACUAAUGUAUUCGCACAAUGGUGAGAUGGAAGAUAGGAAAAGUGGAAAGAGAAGAGAAAAGACGCGAGGUGAGAAUCACGAAAACUGAGUUUUGAAAAACAAGGAAAAACUAGAAGAAAACUCGCAAAGGUAAAUAAGGAAACAGAGAGGUCAAGCGAAAAAAAGAGGAGAUUCAUAAAUUAAAGGAUGGAAAUGCAAAAUGAGAGAAAAAGAAUGUGAAAAGCGAAAACAAGAUGGAGAAGAGGAAGGAAAUUAGAGGGAAAAAUGAGCUUAAACGCGACGUCUAGAAGAGAGUUUAUGAUUAUCAUCAUCAUCAUCAUCAUCAUCAUCAUAUCAAAAUCAUUAGACAAAUAGCUCUAAUUACAUGUUGUCGUAAUGUGAAGUUUGAGGUGCAAUCUUAAUUCAAGCUAGCAAGGCUUAACAUAAUCUUUUUAAAAUUGCACAUAUCUUGCUAUAAAUAACAUUAAAACUCGUGCAUUCCAUCACGAUGAAAAAAGACAAUUUUGAUUACUUUUGCCUUGACUUUUGUCCCCUUUAUAUCAAUUAAAUUACACACAUUUUAGCUUGUAAUCCGGUGACACGAAAGGUGAAGCUAUUACGCAUCGAGCUUAAUUGGCCGGAAAGGUUCGUGCUAAAUUAACGAAAUAACAUUGGCCUAGCCCCGAAGUCUAGCUAUUAGAAUCCGAUUGGAAUGAUGCGCUUAGUUUUCACUUAGAAGCUAGCGCACAGCUCAGGAUAACAGUACUUACAUACUCAAAAACACCAUAAACUUUAAUGGACUGUAGCUUAAGCUUGUAGGUCAAAAGGGAGCCAUUUUAGCAAGCUAACACGAGGAUUGACAGGAUUACAUGGAGUUUAAUCAGCCAUAAUUGACGUAGGAAAUGGGUGUGUCAACGAGGAAGCAAAGUAAAAAUGUUACUGUAGGCAAUGUAGAAGAUGAAAAAAGAAGGAAAGAGAUGAGGAAAAUGGAAUGAGAAAAAAAAAAGAAGAGAAAGGAAAAGUGAGAAUACUAACAGUAAAAUUCAAAACACGAAAAAGAAACAGCACUGAAGAACAGAGGAGCCAAUAUCAGAGAAAGAGAAAUUAAGAAAAUGAGAAACAGAUGAUUAAAAACGGCUACAAAUAAACGUGAAAGAGAGCAGAAAACGGAUAAAGUGAAAUAAGAUGAACUUCCUUAUUUUCCCAAACAAAGAUAUGCAUCUCAAUAUGUUUUGUUUGCAAUACGGCGAAAUUACCAAUUAGCAAACACCACCCUUAUAUCACUUUCCCAAGGCAUCUUAUUGAGCCGAGUACCAUUAGAGCGAACACGAGGAAAUCCAAUUAAUCGCGAACCAAACGAAAAACGUCAUUAAACAAAGACAUUUUUGAUAACAAGAGCUAAAGAAGAAGUUAGUUUGUUUUUAAUCUUGAUAACGAUUGCAAUUAGGGAAGAGCCUAGUUGUAACGACUAUCGCCUCGGUCAGAUUAAAGGAUUGACACAAGUGCUAACGAAUGACGAAGAUAGCCAACGAGCGAGUAACUUUAGCCUUUUAAUAGCGCGUCUUUGCCACAGUCAUUUUAGCUUAAAUUACACUAUUAGAACACUUAGCGUUUUAUUAAGUCAAAUAAAGUAUUCUCAAAUAAUCAUUUUAAAAAGAUAUAGUUAUCUGUUGAGAUGUUUUCACACUUAAAAACUCAACCACCCACGAAAUGGCGGAUCUUAAACUCGACGCUUUUUCCAAACCUAAACUCAAGCACUCCUUCUUACCAUUGUUUUCGUACUAGAAAAGUUUGUUUACGAUGUAAUUAUGUUUUCUAUUGAUGCCGCAGGUUAUUAACACUUUGUUUUUGAUGACUUAUUCAGAACAGGUGACGAGAAUAACACAACAAUUGUCCAAAUUGUUAACACAAACUGAGAAAGGCUGUUGGCCAGAUGGACUACUUCCAAUUCAACUCAAAAUUUCUUUCACUUCUAGGCAUUGUAGUUAAGGACUAUAAAAAGCGUUUAUUUGGCGCAUUUGCGGUCUCUAAUUUUAGCAAUACUCGAGACAAUAAAUAGGACUGUUUAUUUUCUUGAAGUAUCGCCGAAGAAACUCCUUGACAUGAAGCGAAAGUCAUACUGUAAACGAAGUGCGUUUCUUCUUGAGUUCCAAAUAUUUUGUAACUAGUGUAUUUUGUUAGCUAUCAAGUCUUGAGAAGUUCAUAGCCACGUAAAACAAAUAUUGCGGGUAUCUCUAAGUUUCGUCAACUAACAACAAUUAGAGUCGACAAUUGACAGUACAAUUUGUAGCUAUUAGAAGCGUCUUUCUCUCAUGCAUUAUUCAAUUAUCUUUCGAUUCUUUUUAGUUCUGAAUUUUCAGUACGUUUUUACUAUCAAGAAAUCUAACAACACAAACUUUCAAUAAAAAAACAAAUCGAUUUGAAAACCAAUGAUUUGAGAACGUGAGCCGCGCGCCAGAAAAUCCUUAAUAUUAUGUAUUUGAAAUCUGUUUUAUUUGACCUUAAAAACGUUGAAACUCAAGUGAAUAUUCUUAGCACAGAAAUACUUCAUAAAAGCCACGAUUAAAUAUUUCUUUCUCAAACACGUUAUUUGCUUUCUAAACUGUUUAAUCAUUCUAACACAUUUUUCUCUUUUUACUUGGCAGAUUUGAUGCGUGGUAACAGACCUCGCCUUCCUAAUGCUGUUUCACGGAUUUAUAGCUUAGUCAUUCAGCCCGUGAAAAAGACAAUAACUUAAUAUCAUUGUUUUAGUAUCCACCAAACUAUAGGACAAAUUUGAAGUAAACAGGAAAAACAUUUUUCCUCAACUUUUUUUUUAACUUCAUUAUUCUCAACUACAACCACAGACAUAACAAUAUAGUAUAUUUUAAUAGCCAUUCAGGAUGCUGGAUUCAUGAUAAGUUUGGUGGAUACUAAUGAUGCUUUCCAUUGAGACAGAACUGAUCAGCCAGACUGGUCAAUUUAGAAGUAAAUCAUGCCUUUUAUUGAUGGAUUUUUCAGUAAUCUUUCAAGUUUCUAAUUUGGAUAAUAUUUAAAAAUUGAUCAGUUAUUCUUAACAAAAAAGACUAAUAUUGAAUCCUCUUAGAGUCUAGCCAGUCAGUUCUGGCAAAUGAAAAAACACCCAAUUACCACUAUCACUCAACUGGUAUAGUUAUAAGAGGGGUUUCAUUUGGAAAUAGGAGGCUGUUCUGAAAAAGUAGCGUAAUCGUAUUUGAAUAAUAAGGAGCCACAAGCCUUAUGACCUUAAUUUGACAAAAAAUGUUCAACCCAAAGGUCAAAAUAGAUGCCUGGGCCGGGUUCAAAGCCCAAUUAGUGCUAAUCCUGGGUUAACUCUUAGAAAACCCAUGGAGUUAACCCUGAAUUAAUGCUAAUCAGGCUUUGAAUAAUCUGGCCCAGAGUUUGCGAGUUUCUGGCUUCUUAUGAAAUCCCUGUUAUAAUGAGGUACUGUUUUCUUUGUAUUCAAUCUCGUUUGUGUACAGUACACAUUGUUACUAACAUUGUGAAGUGAUAGUGAUUCACGGAGUCACUGCCUAUAUAACCUGACAAACCCUCAAGUUGUUAACAACUGACCUUUACAUUGGACAAGUUUCCUGGCAUGUCUACGCUUCUAAAUCUAAAUACCUCUGUCUGUCCUAUCUGAAUGACAGUAAGGAUGGGUAGGAAAGCUUUUUUGAAUGAAUGAUCUGUAAAAACAAUGAAAAAUUGCAUUAAUAAAGUGAAACUUCAUAGACGA